rnacentral:tRNA from 1 species
AUUUAAAUAGUUUAAAAUAAAAUAUUGAUUUGUGGUGUCAGUGAUAUGAAUUUAUUCAUUUUAAAUC